rnacentral:rRNA from 1 species
CGUAGGGUGCAAGCGUUAAUCGGAAUUACUGGGCGUAAAGCGUGCGCAGGCGGUGAUGUAAGACAGGUGUGAAAUCCCCGGGCUUAACCUGGGAACUGCAUUUGUGACUGCAUCGCUGGAGUGCGGCAGAGGGGGAUGGAAUUCCGCGUGUAGCAGUGAAAUGCGUAGAUAUGCGGAGGAACACCGAUGGCGAAGGCAAUCCCCUGGGCCUGCACUGACGCUCAUGCACGAAAGCGUGGGGAGCAAACAGGAUUAGAUACCCUGGUAGUCCACGCCCUAAACGAUGUCAACUGGUUGUUGGGUCUUUACUGACUCAGUAACGAAGCUAACGCGUGAAGUUGACCGCCUGGGGAGUACGGCCGCAAGGUUG